rnacentral:rRNA from 1 species
AGCGGCGGACGGGUUAGUAACGCGUGGGAACGUACCCUUCUCUAAGGAAUAGCCUCGGGAAACUGAGAGUAAUACCUUAUACGCCCUUUGGGGGAAAGAUUUAUCGGAGAAGGAUCGGCCCGCGUUAGAUUAGAUAGUUGGUGGGGUAAUGGCCUACCAAGUCUACGAUCUAUAGCUGGUUUUAGAGGAUGAUCAGCAACACUGGGACUGAGACACGGCCCAGACUCCUACGGGAGGCAGCAGUGGGGAAUCUUGGACAAUGGGCGCAAGCCUGAUCCAGCCAUGCCGCGUGAGUGAUGAAGGCCUUAGGGUCGUAAAGCUCUUUCGCCAGGGAUGAUAAUGACAGUACCUGGUAAAGAAACCCCGGCUAACUCCGUGCCAGCAGCCGCGGUAAUACGGAGGGGGUUAGCGUUGUUCGGAAUUACUGGGCGUAAAGCGCACGUAGGCGGAUCAGAAAGUAAGAGGUGAAAUCCCAGGGCUCAACCCUGGAACUGCCUUUUAAACUCCUGGUCUAGAGUUCGAGAGAGGUGAGUGGAAUUCCGAGUGUAGAGGUGAAAUUCGUAGAUAUUCGGAGGAACACCAGUGGCGAAAGCGGCUCACUGGCUCGAUACUGACGCUGAGGUGCGAAAGUGUGGGGAGCAAACAGGAUUAGAUACCCUGGUAGUCACACGA